rnacentral:rRNA from 1 species
CCUACGGGUGGCAGCAGUGAGGGAUAUUGGUCAAUGGGGGAAACCCUGAACCAGCAACGCCGCGUGAGGGAAGACGGUUUUCGGAUUGUAAACCUCUGUCCUCUGUGAAGAUAAUGACGGUAGCAGAAGAGGAAGCUACGGCUAACUACGGGCCAGCAGCCGCGGUAAUACGUAGGGUGCGAGCGUGAAUCUGAAUUACUGGGCGUAAAGCGCACGUAGGCGGUAUGUCAAAGCAAGGGUGAAAUCCCAGCGCUCAACGUGGGAACUGCCUUUGAAACUGGCACACUGGAGUGUGUGAGAGGAUAGUGGAAUUCCAGGUGUAGGAGUGAAAUCCGUAGAUAUCUGGAGGAACAUCAGUGGCGAAGGCGACUAUCUGGCACAUAACUGACGCUGAGGAGCGAAAGCGUGGGUAGCAAACAGGAUUAGAUACCCUAGUAGUC